GAUGAACGCUGGCGGCGUGCCUAAUACAUGCAAGUCGAGCGAACGGACGAGAGGCUUGCUUCUCUGAUGUUAGCGGCGGACGGGUGAGUAACACGUGGAUAACCUACCUAUAAGACUGGGAUAACUUCGGGAAACCGGAGCUAAUACCGGAUAAUAUUUUGAACCGCAUGGUUCAAAAGUGAAAGACGGUCUUGCUGUCACUUAUAGAUGGAUCCGCGCUGCAUUAGCUAGUUGGUAAGGUAACGGCUUACCAAGGCAACGAUGCAUAGCCGACCUGAGAGGGUGAUCGGCCACACUGGAUCUGAGACACGGUCCAGACUCCUACGGGAGGCAGCAGUAGGGAAUCUUCCGCAAUGGGCGAAAGCCUGACGGAGCAACGCCGCGUGAGUGAUGAAGGUCUUCGGAUCGUAAAACUCUGUUAUUAGGGAAGAACAUAUGUGUAAGUAACUGUGCACAUCUUGACGGUACCUAAUCAGAAAGCCACGGCUAACUACGUG
rnacentral:rRNA from 1 species